rnacentral:rRNA from 1 species
GACGAACGCUGGCGGCGUGCUUAACACAUGCAAGUCGAACGGUGAAGCGCCUUCCUUUUUGGUGGGUGUGGAUGAGUGGCGAACGGGUGAGUAACACGUGAGUAACCUGCCCCCUUCUUCUGGAUAACCGCAUGAAAGUGUGGCUAAUACGGGAUAUUCUGGGUCUGUCGCAUGAUGGGUCUGGGAAAGAUAUUGUUUCGGUGGGGGAUGGGCUCGCGGCCUAUCAGCUUGUUGGUGGGGUGAUGGCCUACCAAGGCGGUGACGGGUAGCCGGCCUGAGAGGGUGGACGGUCACACUGGGACUGAGACACGGCCCAGACUCCUACGGGAGGCAGCAGCGGGGAAUAUUGCACAAUGGGCGCAAGCCUGAUGCAGCGACGCCGCGUGAGGGAUGGAGGCCUUCGGGUUGUGAACCUCUUUCGCCAGUGAAGCAGGCCUGCCUCGUUUGUGGGUGGGUUGACGGUAGCUGGAUAAGAAGCGCCGGCUAACUACGUG